rnacentral:sRNA from 1 species
UGGUUCAUAGGUGAUAAUGCGUUAUUCC